rnacentral:rRNA from 1 species
UACGGAGGGUGCGAGCGUUGUCCGGAAUCACUGGGCGUAAAGGGCGCGUAGGCGGCGCGGAUAGUCGGCGGUGAAAGCCCGGAGCUCAACUCCGGGUCGGCCGUCGAUACUUCCGGGCUUGAGCACUGUAGAGGCAGAUGGAAUUCCGGGUGUAGCGGUGGAAUGCGUAGAGAUCGGAAAGAACACCAACGGCGAAAGCACUCUGCUGGGCCGACACUGACACUGAGAGACGAAAGCUAGGGGAGCGAAUGGG